GCCGAGAUAGCUCAACGGUAGAGCAACCGCCUUGUAAGCGGUAGGCUACGAGUUCAAGUCUCGUUCUCGGCU
rnacentral:tRNA from 1 species